AACUUUCGACAUCGGAUCUCUUGGCUCUCGCAUCGAUGAAGAACGCAGCGAAAUGCGAUAAGUAAUGUGAAUUGCAGAAUUCAGCGAAUCAUCGAAUCUUUGAACGCACCUUGCGCCCUUUGGCUAUUCCGUAGGGAAUGUCUGUUUGAUUAUCAUGAACACCUCAGCUCUCAUGGCUUGCCAUGAUGAGCUUGGACUUUGGGGGUCUUGUUGGCCUGUGAGCCAGCUCCUCUUAAAUGAAUUAGCUUGCCGGUGUUUGGUGGCGUCACGGGUGUGAUAACUAUCUACGCUUGUGGUUUCCCACCAGGUAACCUUCAGCAAUGGAGGUUCGCCGGAGCUUAUAAAUGUCUCUCCUCGGUGAGGACACAUUUUGACCAUUUGAUCUCAAAUCAGGUAGGACUACCCGCUGAACUUAAGCAUAUCAAUAAGCGGAGGCU
rnacentral:misc_RNA from 1 species